ACAACUAUCAUGAUGACAGUUGGGGCGAACCACAAUUUUUGCGAUCAUACAACGGCUUGGGAAGUUAUUAGGUUACGGGCCGUGUGUACUUAGACUUGCUUGGCUUACUCUUUGAGACAAGCAAUGCUACUGACAGGAU